AGAGGACAUCAUCCCAUGUGAUUGAAGCACAUCAAACACUGAUGAUUGUGACGACUGCUUUCCAGCCAUCCCGUCAACAUGGACCAUGAAGAUGUGACAUCACAGUACAGAGAGAGAGAUACAUCAUGGCUUGAGGCAGCUACAUACCAGGGUCCCAAAUGGAAUUUGAAGGACUAACACAGUCGAACAACUUUGAGUUGGACACAUCAAGAUGCUUAGCAACCUUAUGCAGUACCAUUAAAAAUUAGCAUAGCAUACAACAUCAUCACCACCUCAUCUAAGGCGUCAUGACAACAGAUGGACACAUUGUCAACAGAAUGAACCCCAAGAACACGAAUGAGACGAAGAGACGAAGAGACAGACCAAGUUGGCGAUAGAUGGAUGACAUCAGAGAAUUUACAAGCGUCACUCGGAUGCAACAAGCACAAGAAAGAUCAAGGUGGAAUGGUGAUGAAGAGGCCUUCCUUCUGCAGUAUGAAGCCACAUAGGCUAGAUAUUAUGUCACUUAAAAUAACACACAAAAAGAUUUGUGAAGAUUUCACAUUUCGUUGGCCUGUUUAAUUCAUUCUUGGAAGUAUAUGUGCUUUUCGAAUUAUUGUCAACAUACUUGAAAUGAGGUACUUCAUUACAAGUAUGUAGACAGAAUACAUGUUAAACUUGUAUCGAGGUACUAUACAAGUUCAUG